UACGUAGGGUGCAAGCGUUAAUCGGAAUUACUGGGCGUAAAGCGUGCGCAGGCGGUUGUGCAAGACAGAUGUGAAAUCCCCGGGCUCAACCUGGGAAUUGCAUUUGUGACUGCACGGCUAGAGUGUGUCAGAGGGGGGUAGAAUUCCACGUGUAGCAGUGAAAUGCGUUGAGAUGUGGAGGAAUACCGAUGGCGAAGGCAGCCCCCUGGGAUAACACUGACGCUCAUGCACGAAAGCGUGGGGAGCAAACAGG
rnacentral:rRNA from 1 species